UGUGAGAUAGCUGCUUCAGCUGCUUUGGCUGUUUUCCCG
rnacentral:antisense_RNA from 1 species